rfam:Arabis alpina cultivar Pajares Aa.chr7_contig_1548, whole genome shotgun sequence.
ACUCUAUGGUGAGGGCAAGAUCUAGUGUAUCCCUUCAAUCUUUCCCAUGCUUCGUAGAGAGCUUCAUUUGGACCUUGCUUGAAGCUUGUAAUGUCGUUUUUAAUCCG